GCAAGUCGAGCGGCAGCACGGGAGCUUGCUCCUGGUGGCGAGCGGCGGACGGGUGAGGAACACGUGGGAAUCUACCUAUUGGUGGGGGAUAACUGGGGGAAACUCAAGGUAAUACCGCAUUGGCCCUACGGGGGAAAGCGGGGGACCUUCGGGCCUUGCGCCGUUAGAUGAGCCCGCGUCGGAUUAGCUUGUUGGUGAGGUAAAGGCUCACCAAGGCGACGAUCCGUAGCUGGUCUGAGAGGAUGAUC
rnacentral:rRNA from 1 species